rnacentral:rRNA from 1 species
AGCGAACGCUGGCGGCAGGCCUACCACAUGCAAGUCGAACGAACUCUUCGGAGUUAGUGGCGGACGGGUGAGUAACACGUGGGAACGUGCCUUUUGGUUCGGAAUAACUCAGGGAAACUUGUGCUAAUACCGAAUGUGCCCUUCGGGGGAAAGAUUUAUCGCCAUUAGAGCGGCCCGCGUCUGAUUAGCUAGUUGGUGAGGUAACGGCUCACCAAGGCGACGAUCAGUAGCUGGUCUGAGAGGAUGACCAGCCACACUGGGACUGAGACACGGCCCAGACUCCUACGGGAGGCAGCAGUGGGGAAUCUUGCGCAAUGGGCGAAAGCCUGACGCAGCCAUGCCGCGUGAAUGAUGAAGGUCUUAGGAUUGUAAAAUUCUUUCACCGGGGACGAUAAUGACGGUACCCGGAGAAGAAGCCCCGGCUAACUUCGUG